GCUAAGUGCUUCACCAAAAAUGACCACUUUCCCCUUUCUUUCAUUGAUCAAAUGUUGGAAAAGUUGAUCGUACGAACACAUUACUACUAUCUGGAUGGUUAUUUGGGCUUUUAACAGAUCCUAGUUGCACUAGAAGAUUAAGAGAAGACCACAUUCACAUGCCCCUUUAGCACCUUUUGUGACAUCCCAAGUGUCAAUU
rnacentral:lncRNA from 1 species